rnacentral:rRNA from 1 species
UUGGGACUGAGACACGGCCCAAACUCCUACGGGAGGCAGCAGUGGGGAAUAUUGCACAAUGGGGGAAACCCUGAUGCAGCAACGCCGCGUGAGUGAAGAAGUAUUUCGGUAUGUAAAGCUCUAUCAGCAGGAAAGAAAAUGACGGUACCUGACUAAGAAGCCCCGGCUAACUACGUGCCAGCAGCCGCGGUAAUACGUAGGGGGCAAGCGUUAUCCGGAUUUACUGGGUGUAAAGGGAGCGUAGACGGUUUUGCAAGUCUGAAGUGAAAGCCCGGGGCUUAACCCCGGGACUGCUCUGGAAACUGUAGAACUAGAGUGCAGGAGAGGUAAGUGGAAUUCCUAGUGUAGCGGUGAAAUGCGUAGAUAUUAGGAGGAACACCAGUGGCGAAGGCGGCUUACUGGACUGUAACUGACGUUGAGGCUCGAAAGCGUGGGGAGCAAACAGGAUUAGAUACCCUGGUAGUCCACGCCGUAAACGAUGAUUACUAGGUGUUGGUGGGUAUGACCCAUCGGUGCCGCAGCAAACGCAGUAAGUAAUCCACCUGGGGAGUACGUUCGCAAGAAUGAAACUCAAAGGAA